UGGGGGAUAUUGCACAAUGGGCGCAAGCCUGAUGCAGCGACGCCGCGUGGGGGAUGAAGGCCUUCGGGUUGUAAACUUCUUUUGCUCUGAACAAGGCGCACUUUGGGGUGUGUUGAGUGUAGGGGUUGAUUAGCGCCGGCUAACUACGUGCCAGCAGCCGCGGUAAUACGUAGGGCGCGAGCGUUGUCCGGAAUUAUUGGGCGUAAAGGGCUUGUAGGUGGCUGGUUGCGUCUGUCGUGAAAGCUCAUGGCUUAACUGUGGGUUUGCGGUGGGUACGGGCUGGCUUGAGUGCAGUAGGGGAGGCUGGAAUUCCUGGUGUAGCAGUGGAAUGCGCAGAUAUCAGGAGGAAUACCGGUGGCGAAGGCGGGUCUCUGGGCUGUUACUGACACUGAGGAGCGAAAGCAUGGGGAGCGAACAGG
rnacentral:rRNA from 1 species